rnacentral:rRNA from 1 species
AGUGAACGCUGGCGGUAGGCCUAACACAUGCAAGUCGAACGGCAGCACAGUAAGAGCUUGCUCUUACGGGUGGCGAGUGGCGGACGGGUGAGGAAUACAUCGGAAUCUACUUUUUCGUGGGGGAUAACGUAGGGAAACUUACGCUAAUACCGCAUACGACCUACGGGUGAAAGCAGUGGAUCUUCGGACCUUGCGCGAUUGAAUGAGCCGAUGUCGGAUUAGCUAGUUGGCGGGGUAAAGGCCCACCAAGGCGACGAUCCGUAGCUGGUCUGAGAGGGUGAUCAGCCACACUGGAACUGAGACACGGUCCAGACUCCUACGGGAGGCAGCAGUGGGGAAUAUUGGGCAAUGGGCGCAAGCCUGAUCCAGCCAUACCGCGUGGGUGAAGAAGGCCUUCGGGUUGUAAAGCCCUUUUGUUGGGAAAGAAAAGCAGCAGGUUAAUACCCCGCUGUUCUGACGGUACCCAAAGAAUAAGCACCGGCUAACUUCGUG